UCCGGCAUGGUCUAGUGGUUAGGAUACUUGGCUCUCACCCAAGAGGCCCGGGUUCGAUUCCCGGUGUCGGAA
rnacentral:tRNA from 1 species